AUUGAACGCUGGCGGCAGGCCUAACACAUGCAAGUCGAGCGGAUGAAGGGAGCUUGCUCCUGGAUUCAGCGGCGGACGGGUGAGUAAUGCCUAGGAAUCUGCCUGGUAGUGGGGGAUAACGUCCGGAAACGGGCGCUAAUACCGCAUACGUCCUGAGGGAGAAAGUGGGGGAUCUUCGGACCUCACGCUAUCAGAUGGGCCUAGGUCGGAUUAGCUAGUUGGUGGGGUAAAGGCCUACCAAGGCGACGAUCCGUAACUGGUCUGAGAGGAUGAUCAGUCACACUGGAACUGAGACACGGUCCAGACUCCUACGGGAGGUAGCAGUGGGGAAUAUUGGACAAUGGGCGAAAGCCUGAUCCAGCCAUGCCGCGUGUGUGAAGAAGGUCUUCGGAUUGUAAAGCACUUUAAGUUGGGAGGAAGGGCAGUAAGUUAAUACCUUGCUGUUUUGACGUUACCAACAGAAUAAGCACCGGCUAACUUCGUG
rnacentral:rRNA from 1 species